rnacentral:lncRNA from 1 species
AGGCUGCAAUCCUCUCUGCUGACAAGGGAGCAAGUUUCUAGGAUUUGGUUAAAUAACCAGGAAAACGCUUCCUUAAAAUUUCCCCUCCCCGGCAGCGUCCCCGCUGUCCCCAUGGUGUGGCGAGGGGCAGCGCUGUGGGUGCCGAGCGCUGGGGCCCUGCGUGACAUUUCCCCGGGGGGCCGAGAGCUCGGUCCCGUUCCGUGGGCUGCGUUUGCAGUGGGGAAAUUUCCCCUCUAGAUGGCGGAAAGGGCAGCAGGAAAAACGCAGGGGGCCCACGCUGCGGAGCGUUCAAACGCGGAGGUGCGCGACUGCGGCGCUCGCCCCGCUCCGAGGGUCCCCGCGGCCACCGCUCGGGAUCCGAGGAGCCGCGGCCAGAUGGAAAAAGCAGAUGGAAAAAAGGGCCCAGCAGCCGGAGCCCCAAGGCACCCCCAGCUGUAGGGUUGCCAGCCCCAAAUCCAGGCUGCGGGAGAGGACAGCGAGGGGACCGCCGCGCGCUGGCUGCUGCCGCCUUACCCUGAGCCACCCGCCCGCAACGCCACAGAGAGCAGGGCUGGGGCCGGCGGCGCAGCAGGGAUUUUCCCCCCAGGGGCUGCGGUUAUGCGGUGAGGACCCGCACCUUUUUUUCCUGGCUGUGAGAGCUGGAUCCGAUAUCGCCCUUUCUUCUCUCCGCCUUUUUAUAGCUGCUCCCUGCCCACGAGCAACCUGUUGCAGAGCAGAGCGGGAGCGUGGAGCACAACCCGCCGCUGGCUUCCCCGGGGGCAGCGAGCCCUCACCUUGGGACCGACCACCCGCACGGCCCCACGUCUUCGUUAAGGAUUAUUUUAAUCCCCUGAGAGAUUUACGGUCUCCUCCUGGGGUCCUGUGCCCACGAGGGCAAUGCUGCAGUGAGGAAGGUGCCGUCUCAGGAGGAUCCUCUGAGAGCAUCCAUCUGGACCUGGCUGCUUCCCUGCGGGCACCACGUGGGGUGAAGGCGUCCCAGCAGCGUGGUCCGUCCUUUGGUAGGCAGCAAGGUGGGGUGUCUGCGUGUGGGGUAGGAGGGGGCCAUACCAAACCAGCCUGGGGACAUCACCGGGUGGGGUGUUGUAGGGUUUGGUGGUGCUGGCGUAGGGUUUGGUGGUGCUGGUGUAGGACUUGGUGGUGCUGGUGUAGAGCUUGGUCAUGCUGGUGUAGGAGGUGCUGUAGGGUUUGGUGGAGGUGGUGGAGGUGCUUGGUGGAGGCGGAAUAG